UUGACCUCGGAUCAGGUAGGAAUACCCGCUGACUUAAGCAUAAAAAGAAAGACCAGGCACGUUCGUGCAAAUAUGGAAAUGUCUAGCUGAAUUUAGCUCCGACCUAGCCACUUUGCAAACCCUCCACCCGCUGAACUUAAGCAUAA
rnacentral:rRNA from 1 species